CCUACGGGAGGCAGCAGUGAGGAAUCUUGGUCAAUGGGCGCGAGCCUGAACCAGCCAAGUAGCGUGAAGGGUGACUGCCCUACGGGUUGUAAACUUCUUUUAUAAAGGAAUAAAGUGAGGCACGUUUGCCUUUUUGUAUGUACAUCAUGAAUAAGGAUCGGCUAACUCCGUGACAGCAGCCGGGGUAAUACGGAGGAUCCGAGCGUUAACCGGUUUUUUUGGGUUUAAAGGGAGGGAAGAUGGGUUGUUAAGUCAGUUGGAAAGGUUUGGGGCUCAACAGUAAGAUUACAAUUUAUACUGGCAGUCUUGAGUACAGUUGAGGUAAGCGGAAUUCGUGGUGUAGCGGUGAAAUGCUUAGAUAUCACGAGGAACUCCGAUUGCGAAGGCGGGUUCCUGGACAUUAACUGACGCUGAGGCACGAAGGCCAAGGGAGCGAAAGGGAUUAGAUACCCGUGUAGUC
rnacentral:rRNA from 1 species